UACGUAGGGGGCAAGCGUUGUCCGGAAUUAUUGGGCGUAAAGAGCGUGUAGGCGGUCCGGUAAGUCGGCUGUGAAAGUCCAGGGCUCAACCCUGGGAUGCCCGGUCGAUACUGCCGGACUAGAGUUCGGAAGAGGCGAGUGGAAUUCCCGGUGUAGCGGUGAAAUGCGCAGAUAUCGGGAGGAACACCUAUGGCGAAGGCAGCUCGCUGGGACGUUACUGACGCUGAGACGCGAAAGCGUGGGGAGCAAACGGG
rnacentral:rRNA from 1 species